AGCAGCCGCGGUAAUUCCAGCUCCAAUAGCGUAUAUUAAAGUUGUUGCAGUUAAAAAGCUCGUAGUUGAAUUUCGGGAUCAAAUUGUCGGUCGUGCCUCGGUACGCACUGGUAUUAUUGGUUCCUACCUUCUGAAGAACCGCGAUGUCAUUAAUUUGGUGUCGUGGGGAAUCAGGACUGUUACUCUGAAAAAAUUAGAGUGUUUAAAGCAGGCUUACGCUUGAAUACAUUAGCAUGGAAUAAUGAAAUAGGACGUUUGAUUCUAUUUUGUUGGUUUCUAGGACUGACGUAAUGAUUAAUAGGGAUAGUUGGGGGCAUUAGUAUUCAAUUGUCAGAGGUGAAAUUCUUGGAUUUAUUGAAGACUAACUACUGCGAAAGCAUUUGCCAAGGAUGUUUUCAUUAAUCAAGAACGAAAGUUAGGGGAUCGAAGAUGAUCAGAUACCGUCGUAGUCUUAACCAUAAACUAUGCCGACUAGGGAUCGGAUGAUGUUAAUUUUUAAUGACUCAUUCGGCGC
rnacentral:rRNA from 1 species